rnacentral:misc_RNA from 1 species
UAAUAACUGUUAGUUGAUACUUGUGGCUAGUGGAUGGUAACAACUAACAAGUGAACGUUAAUUGCUUAAUAAAACAAUUGUUAGUUGCUGACUUUAGUUGUCUGUACAGUUUGGUUCAGAUCAUUAGAUAUUAAAACCGAUUCAAAUUUAUAACCAGUUUGGUUAAAUUGAUUUUUCAUUUUUUUUAAUUUGGGCCAAGUUCAG